rnacentral:rRNA from 1 species
AUUGAACGCUGGCGGCAGGCCUAACACAUGCCAGUCGAACGGAGCGGCGGACGGGUGAGUAAUGCCUAGGAAUCUGCCUGGUAGUGGGGGAUAACGUCCGGAAACGGGCGCUAAUACCGCAUACUAUCAGAUGAGCCUCGGUCGGAUGAGCUAGGUGGGUGGGUAAAGGCCUACCAAGGCGACGAUCCGUAACUGGUCUGAGAGGAUGAUCAGUGCCACUGGAACUGAGGCACGGUCCAGACUCCUACGCGAGGCAGCAGUGGGGAAUAUUGGUCAAUGGGCGAAAGCCUGAUCCAGCCAUGCCGCUUGUGGGAAGAAGGUAUUCGGGUUGUAAAGUACUUUCAGCGAGUAGGCGUUACUCGCAGAAGAAGCACCGGCUAACUCCGUGCCAGCAGCCGCGGUAAUUC